CCUACGGGUGGCAGCAGUGAGGAAUAUUGGUCAAUGGGCGAGAGCCUGAACCAGCCAAGUCGCGUGAAGGAUGACGGCCCUACGGGUUGUAAACUUCUUUUGUCAGGGAGCAAUUGAGUCCACGUGUGGGCUUAGCGAGAGUACCUGAAGAAAAAGCAUCCGAAAACUCCGCGACAGCAGCCGCGGUAAUACGGAGGAUGCGAGCGUUAUCCGGUUUUAUUGGGUUUAAAGGGUGAGUAGGCGGAAUAUCAAGUCAGAGGUAAAAAUUCGGGGCUCAACCCCGUCGUGCCGUUGAAACUGGUGUUCUUGAGUGGGCGAGAAGUAUGCGGAAUGCGUGGUGUAGCGGUGAAAUGCAUAGAUAUCACGCAGAACUCCGAUUGCGAAGGCAGCAUACCGGCGCCCAACUGACGCUGAAGCACGAAAGCGUGGGUAUCGAACAGGAUUAGAUACCCUGGUAGUC
rnacentral:rRNA from 1 species